UUUUCUUGCUACAGCAUUUAAUUUCCUUGAGUGUGGAGAGAAGCAGUUCUGUCCCUUGAUAAAGAAUUGUAAUAAAUCUGCCUGAAACUUUUUCUUACAUCACCAAAUAACUAGAUAAAUUUCUUAAUUAUUUUGUUCCUUUGGGUUGAUUAAACCACCUAGAAUAUGAUCUGAGUGGUGAAGAAAGGGAUCUGAAAGCAGGAGUGAAGUUCGAGGCUGGAAGACGGUAGGGGCGGGGAGGGUGCUCCAAGCUAAUCCCUAUGGUUGAGCUGAGAGGGAGUUUCAGACACUGAAAGAGACAGGAGACGCCAAAGACCCAAUGAGAAAUGACACUUCAGCAUCAUUCAGCAAAGUUAUCAGGUCACAAGGCAGUAAACUGCUGUCCUGUCCUCAUCUGUAGACUACUCACUAGGUUAUAGAAGAAAAACAUUUCAACCUACAUAUUAAUGGAAUCAGAAAGGCUUAGGGAAAAGAGUCAGCAAGACCCAUGUUCAGAAUUUGCUGAGCCUCAGUUUCCUCAUCUGUGAAACGGGAGUAACAUAGUAAGUAUUCAGUAAAUAAAGCACCUAUCCUAGAAGUAUUUUUUUCCAAACUGAUUUCACUUACUCUUAACGUGCAUGUGAUUUCUUGUUAAUCAGAUUUUUAGAGCUCAGUAACAUAAAACCAGGGCCUAUUACAGUCAAAUAAUUCACCCAGAAGCCCUUUAGUUAUUUUAUUUGUGGCUUUGAAUAUACAUCUUCAUAGGAUGUCCUUGGUAAAACCAAACAAACAAACAAGCAAAAAAUCAACACCCACAUGUACUUAAUCGUAUCAAUACUAGAGUAUUUUCUUGGAUUCUAAUU
rnacentral:lncRNA from 1 species